rnacentral:tRNA from 1 species
CAAAUAAUAUCUUAAGAGAAAGUAUUUUAUUUACAUUAAAAAGUUCAUUUAUAAAAUGUUAUUUGA